rnacentral:rRNA from 1 species
AUUGAACGCUGGCGGCAGGCCUAACACAUGCAAGUCGAACGAGCGGCGGACGGGGGAGUAAUGUCUGGGAAACUGACUGAGAGGGGGGGAGAACAAAUGGAGACGGGAGCUAAUACCGCAUACCAUCAGAUGUGCCCAGAUGGGGUUAGCUAUGGGGGGGGGGAACGGCUCACCGGGGCGACGAUCCCUAUCGGGGCUGAGAGGAUGACCAGCCACCCGGGAACUGAGACACGGGCCAGACUCCUACGGGAGGCAGCAGUGGGGAAUAGUGCACAAUGGGCGCAAGCCUGAUGCAGCCAUGCCGCGUGUGUGAAGAAGGCCUUCGGGUUGUAAAGCACUUUCAGCGGGGAGGCGUUACCCGCAGAAGAAGCACCGGCUAACUCCGUGCCAGCAGCCGCGGUAAUUC